GUUGAUUCCAUGGACACAUUUCUGCUGGAGAAAACCCACAAUAAAUAUUCUCUAACAGUGAUUAUUAUGGAGACCAGGAGAGGAAGCUGAACUUGAAGUUGGUCUUUGAAGAAUUCAUAAUCUUUGGGGAAGUGGAGUUCAUUCUAAGUUGAAAGAAAACAGCCAAACACCAAGUUUCCUUCUGAAGAACUACACCCUUGGGUGGCCAUUAGAACCUGGAUGCAGUUCAACCAGAUGAAGAUUCUAUUUCAUCCAUUAUUUGAGGUGUGAAAAGGACAACUUUAUCAUUAGCCUUCCAUCUGCUCAUGUAAACGUGGACAUUUACCUUCAGCAAUGAUGAUGGAGUUCUGUUUUC